rnacentral:rRNA from 1 species
ACGAACGCUGGCGGCGUGCUUAACACAUGCAAGUCGAACGGAAAGGCCCUGCUUUUGUGGGGUGCUCGAGUGGCGAACGGGUGAGUAACACGUGAGUAACCUGCCCUUGACUUUGGGAUAACUUCAGGAAACUGGGGCUAAUACCGGAUAGGAGCUCCUGCUGCAUGGUGGGGGUUGGAAAGUUUCGGCGGUUGGGGAUGGACUCGCGGCUUAUCAGCUUGUUGGCGGGGUAGUGGCUUACCAAGGCUUUGACGGGUAGCCGGCCUGAGAGGGUGACCGGCCACAUUGGGACUGAGGUACGGCCCAGACUCCUACGGGAGGCAGCAGUGGGGAAUAUUGCACAAUGGGCGGAAGCCUGAUGCAGCAACGCCGCGUGCGGGAUGACGGCCUUCGGGUUGUAAACCGCUUUCGCCUGUGACGAAGCGUGAGUGACGGUAAUGGGUAAAGAAGCACCGGCUAACUACGUG